rnacentral:rRNA from 1 species
GGGCCCGCACAAGCGGUGGAGCACGUGGUUUAAUUCGAUGCAAACCGAAGAACCUUACCUGGGUUUGACAUGCAGGUGUUAGGAGUCUGAAAGGGCGACGACCUUACGUAAGUAAGGGGCUUGCACAGGUGCUGCAUGGCUGUCGUCAGCUCGUGUCGUGAGAUGUUGGGUCAAGUCCCGCAACGAGCGCAACCCUUGUAAUCAGUUACCAACGGGAGAGCCGGGGACUCUGGUUAGACUGCCGUCGACAAGGCGGAGGAAGGUGGGGACGACGUCAAGUCAUCAUGGCCUUUAUGUCCAGGGCGACACACGUGCUACAAUGGCGCGCACAGAGGGGAGCGAGGCUGUAAGGCGGAGCGGAUCUCAGAAAGCGUGUCUCAGUUCGGAUUGCGGUCUGCAACUCGAGCGCAUGAAGAUGGAAUCGCUAGUAAUCGCGGAUCAGCCAAGCCG